AAAUCUAUUUUUUUCCAGUGAUCAGAAUCAGAUAUAUUGUCAAGGUAACAGGAGGAAUGAUUAGAAGUCUCGUUACAUAAUCAGUCAGUUUUUACAUAAGAAUAUCACUGAUUUAUGCACGCAUGAAAAAUGUAAUUAAGACACAAUGUAGUGGAAAGGUAGAGCUCUGUAACCUUCGUUUCUUAUUGGGUGAUCUGAAUCUUGAAGCUUAAAACCAGAACCAGACGUUAAAUUUCUAGACACAGAAUUUCCCAUUUCCCAAAUAGUGUAUACAGGGGGUAACAUGUUGCGAGGCAAGAGUUUGUUUUCACCUGUCCUUGACACGAGACGGGUUUAAAGAAGGGUUUAUGUGGGAUUAUGUUUUCACCUAUCCUUCUAAUAUUAAGAGUAAUCCUAUUUGCAUUUGCCCUCACGACAGGAAGUCACUACCAUCAGAUCAAUAUGAGGCUGAAACAAAAGAAUUAGAUGAUUAUCCCACCCAUUUAGCA
rnacentral:lncRNA from 1 species